rnacentral:lncRNA from 1 species
UGCGCCCCUGUUUUGCCCCAACCUCACACGCAGGUUGUACUGCUGUAGAGGGGUUUGGAGCGCUGGAGCGCCACCUCGUCACGGGGUCCGGCUGCCAUCCGCGAUGCGAGCACCAAACGCAGAGGAGAGCGCGUUUGAUGCAAAAUCAGCAUCGUUUUUGGAAUUGUUUGUGUCAGGUCGCUCUGCGUAGUCCAGGUAUUAUCGAGCGAACCAUCUUCUUACGUAGCGUGCUUUGAUGAUCCGGGCAUGCCGGCACCCCCGUUAUAUAUCUCCAAAACCUCGUAUGAUAAAUCAACGCUAGAAUAUAAAACGGAGCACGAAAACACAUGGAAAGAUGCGGCAGGCACCAAGUUGGCAUGGCCAUCUGAAGAUAAUCACCAACGCUUAAGUGCGAAAUCAAAGAUGUAAGAUGUGAAAAAUGAACGGUUAACCGCAGAACGGAGAUGCUAAGGAACGGGCGGACGAGGUGAAGGAUGACGAGGAAAGCCUCUUAAAAAGAGAGGGGCGUUUCGGUCAUUCCACCAUAAUACUGACGAAACAAUGUAUACAUUAUAUUUUAAAGCGGACGAAACAAUAUAUACAUACACACUAAACAAAGGAAACCGGCCUACCGCGCCUACGUCUAAUUUUCAAAUCGGUAACUUUAAUCCCACCUCCCCGUCUAUUUAAAACUAUUCCGAUCGCCGGUCGCCUGUCUCCCUAC